CGGAAAUACCGGAGGCAGUGAAAAGGAAUAAGAAUAGACAAAGGAAGCAAUUCCGAGUCAAUUCAAAUGAGUUAGAUGAAAAUAGCAAACGAGAAGCAAGUGGAGGGCAAGGUCUGGUGCCAGCAGCCGCGGUAAUACCAGCUCCACUAGCAUGUUAAAAGUUGCUGCAGUUAAAACGCUCGUAGUUGGGGAUUAAAAAGAAGGAGAAAAGCAAAUUGUUUUUCUUCGUUUUAAUUAUUUGGUGAAUUGAGGUAAUUGAGUUUGCCUUGUCACCGUAUCACCUUGAACAAAGCAUGUCGCUCAAAAUGGGGUCUUCAGACAAGGAGUGUUGAGCAUGGAAUGAGAGAAUAUGAGAAGGAAAAAAAAAGAAGAGAGUGAUCUUGGAGGUUUUUCUUUCUAAUGGCAAAUGGG
rnacentral:rRNA from 1 species